AAGCAAAGCGGUAUUGCUGAACUGUAGCGGGGCUGAAUACCUGCAAACUUCUCCCGUGUCCCUAUCAGAUGAAUAGCUCACUUAUUAACCUAGAGCUGCCUACAGCAGAGCCCGUUCCUUUCUCAAUGAUCUUCUCCCUGCUGUGGGCUCUGUUUGCCCGUGGCAGUGCCGCUCUGCUAGGACGUGGCCACUGGUGCAAAUCAGAGCAAAACCUGGAAUCAAAAUCCUUCCCAGUGCUCCAGCCAAACACAAGCAGCUCCCGCCGUGAACCUCUGGAGAUGCCGCCCAACUGCAGCAGGAGGUGAGGACAUUUUCCAUGGGAAGACUGCGGGAAGCCAACAGCCUCACAGUGGGGCACUCACAGGGCGCAUCAGCCAACAAGUGAUCCUUCCCUCCCUGGUCCCAGUUGUCCACAAGGAGCAAUGAGCAAGUGUGAAUGGGGCACUGCAAAAAGCUGGUGGAAAGGUGAUUAAAAAUAGUCCCGCGAUGAGCACCUAUGGGGGCUGUCACAGUGCCAUUGGUGGGGAGCAUCAGCCAGAGGAAAGCAGGACAGAGGCACAACCUCCUCAAGGCUUCAGCUCUGCAGUAAUCUCCUGCUGUGCCUCAGUUUCCCCUCAGCAGGGAUCGCACCACCCAAGGACGGGACAUCACUCAUUGCUUUUGAUGCCUGCUGUCUGGAUGGAUGUAGACUCCUGCAAAUAUUAAGUUGGAAAAGACCACUAAGAUCAUCUCGUCCAAUUAUCAACACAUCAGCAGCACUCACGGAAACUGCUUGUGCCAUCAGCAUCAGUACCUGAGUCCUUACACCACCCUGGCUGGGUUCUCCUGCUCAUCCAAAGGUGCCCCAGAGAAGAUGUGACCUGGAGCUGAAGACAUGCUCAUUUUGGAUACAUCACUUUGCAAACAAAAGAUUGCAGCAUCAUCCUCUUCUGUUCUUAAGGGCAAUACUGACUGAUGUGUGAUUUCCGUAGUGGAAGUGGAAUAGAUUUUUGUCCCGAUGGCUGAAAUCACUGCACUUCUCUCCUGUUUUUGUAGCUUAUUUACAGUGAGUUGUUGCUUGCCCAGGUUUUGCCCCAUGUAAAUUACCUGCACAUACUCUCUGCCAGAUCUUUUGGCUAUUCUUGGAUCCCUCCUCUGCAGACCUCGAGGGCUUUAGUCUUCGAGCUGCAGCUUUCUUUUAUUACUUCAGAAAUUAGGAAGAUGUCUUCUUUGGUGGAAGGCAUCUGCUUAGUGUCUGAUGCAUUUAGGAUACUCAUUAAAGGGAUAUUUUCCCCCUUAUCUCAUGCCUAAUCUCUGGAGGAGGACGCUGAUUGCUUUGGCUGCGUGCUGUCACUCCUUGCUGGGAUCCUGUGGUGGCACAAGCAGUGUCCCCAUGUCCCUGCACAGCCCUGCGGGUAACCUCAGAACAGAGCUGGCCAAUACCGUGCCUGGAAGCUCCCUCAAUAUUUCAAUAUUUGAUUUUGCUCUUCUGUUCAGCCUUUUAAUGUGGUUCUGCUUAUUUUUACAGGUUUCCCAAUCUGCCCCCUCCCCAGAUUGUUUAUAUUUUUGGAAAGCCUUCUGUUUAGUGCCUGUAAUACCCCUGACGUCCUUUUGCUGCAGUGGGCUUCCAUUACCAGCAUCUCCGCUGAGACUUAACUGGGAUUUGUUUCUAUACUAAUCUCUCAAACUGUUUAUUAAACCCCCUCCUGAUUUAUCUGCAAAAGAUUUCCUUGAAGUUAUAAAAUCUCAAUCAAAAUUCCUCUGGGCAUUGCACAUUCCCUCUUACGACCACUAAAUCCUGUUUGUUCUUGCCAUGACCCACUUGGCUCAUGGUUGGAGACAUAGCACCCGAAUGUGCCCAGCAUCACAGGGGCAGCUUUGCAGUCUUUCUGCAAUGAGGGCUAGUUGCCCCAAAGCCUCUUUCUAGAACUGCUCCUCUAAAACCAUUUUUUUCCUUUUGAGUUUCAACCCUAGCAGUCAGCAUGGCUUUCCUGUUAGCAAGUGCGAGUUUUCCUUGUUGUCCCAUCACCUUGCACCCAGUGUUGAGCUCAUAACCUGCUAAAUAAUUCCUCUUCCACCUUGGUGUUUACAUUCUUCAGAUAUUUUCACCGCUUUUCACGUCCCAACUCAUUUGUCCCUUGUCUGGGCUAUACCCUGCCCCUUUCAUCUUUGCACAUCAGAGCCGCUUCCUCCAGCCUGACAGCAGCACCACUGGGCAGGUUCCUUUCCCCAAACUGGACUCAUCCAUUUGUCCGUCCAUCCAUCCAUCCAUCCAUCCAUCCAUCCAUCCAUCCAUCCAUCCCAGACCUGUCAGGAUGAAUGUGGCCCCAAGGACUGGCCCAUGCCUUUUGCCUGGAUGCCCCUCAUCCAGCAGCUUGCCCACCCUGCCCUCUCCUUUUGGUGUGAAUCAGACCAGGUAUCAUCCAGUACCUGGUCCUCACUCUGCAGAGAGCAAGAGAAUACAACACACAGCAAAGCUCCAUUCUUGACCCAACUGCUGUUGCCUAUUUCCCACUGCAGCUCUUCCUCGCACCCAGGGCAGCUUUUGGCCAGAGAUUAGGACAGAAAAUAUGGCAGUGUUCUGGGAAAAAAAAAAAGUCACUGGAGUUUGGCCCAAUGAACAGAUUAUGGGGUCUAUUUAAAGGAGGAGAAAACUCUUUUCUGGCCUCCUGCAUGCACAAUAAUGGCAUGCCAGAGGUUCAACUCCUUCCAAGGGCUUUACCCUUUGGUGUCAUUUGGUUGUAUAUUUGCUAUAGCAAGGAGAUGGUAGUAAUUGGAAUAAUACAGCUACGUAGGGAAAAAACCUUGUUAGUUUAGCACGCUAUUUCCCUGCAGUGCAGCUCCUGCCUAAAGCCAUCCAAAGAAAACAGUUCACCUAACAUAUGCUAGGCACUUCAAAGAGAAAAUUAAAAGGGACAAAGCCAAUGUGAGAGGAUGAAGAAUCCCAGAGGAGCUUUAUCAGGAUCCCAUUCAGUGUUUCCCAUGUUUUAGUGGAAAAAAAGCCCAGCAAUAACAAAAAAGACCCGGGCGUGCAAGCCUCGGUGACUGAUAGAGGAUUUUCCCUUGGCUAGACACAGAGCCUUCAAAAAAACUGCAGCAGAGUGUGGGAUCAUUAAACACCUUCGGAUUCCUUCCUCACUGCCAAUCACGGCAUCAGAAACCGCCCUCUCUGUGGCGUCUGCUGAUUCCACUUUGAAAACUUCCCCAUUUAUCACCGCCGCGAGAGAUCCUGCCGAGACCGCUGGAGCCUGCUGCUUGUCAACAGGGCACCUUAUCUUCUCCAAACAUUUACUUAACCCUUUGUCUCGCGGGUGGGGAACAAUGGGAGCCCGGUGCGGCCCCACCAACCUCCCACACCAAAGCUGCUGCAGAGCACGGUGUGCCAACCUCCAUGCCAGCAGGAAGGUUGCUCACAAUGUGGGAAGAGGAGAAGCUGUUUGUGGGUGCUCCCUGGUAGGCACGCAGGUACAAAGAACUUUCCUAGCAAUAAGGACCCACCAUCUGUAACUCAAAAGGGCUCCUAAAUCAGGACGUACAAUUGCAGAGUCCUUAAGGCUGGAGAAGAACCUUGAGAUCCCCAAGCUCAACACAGCCCACCCCACCGUGCCCUCUGCCCACAUCCCUAAGUGCCACAUCUCCAUGGUUCCUGAACACCUCCAGGGAUGGUGACCUCACCACCUCCCUGGGCAGCCGUGCCACUGCAUCACUGCUCAUUCUAUGAAGCAAUUGUUCCUUGUACCAAACCAGACAGAAUAGGUACAGCUUCACUUAAGGACACGAUACCACCUUCAGAGGUGGUAGUUAACGCUGUGCAGAGUUCUAAAGAAAAUUUUCUAUGAUCCUCAUUGCCAUUGUAAGUGGAAAGCUGGAUGUGUCUUCACUGAAGAACUCAUGGCAGAGCAAGCGUUUUGUUUUUAUAAAAGCAGGUGAUUGGUUUUGGAGAAUUUUGCUUCGGUGCAGCAAGUGAACCAGCACUACAGGUUUCCACUGAGAGAUGGGUCAGACCUCUCUGACAAGAAAAUGAGGUCUCAACUCUUGACCUUCAGUGCAGCAGCUCGGAGGCUGGCUCUUUGUCAUGGCUGGUGACAUGCAUGCACUGCUCACAGUUACCUGCGACCAUAAGGAUCCAAUGGGGUUGUGGCAGAAAACUGCUGUGUUUUUGAAAUGCAUGAAGAACUCCAAGACUCACUUCCUAACAAAAACCCAAGCAAAAAACCACUGUGAUCUUCCCACCAAUUCCAGCAGGCUUUGGAACACGAUAUGCCUGUUAACCCAAGCCCAACCCUCAGCAGCCCCACUGUGGGUGAUGGCAGAUACAGAGGCAAUACACAGGAAUGCAGAGGGGCAAAACACCAUCAGAAACCAGGGGACAUACAGACAAAAGCUCACAGCUCAGCGUUACCAGUUACAAACAACCCUCAUUGCUGCUCAGCAGCUGCACUGAGGACAGUAAUAAAUGGCUGCGUGUUUGAAGCUGAGUUUUACGUCUUUGCAUUGUCACUGCAAUGCUUUGUGCUGUUAUCUAUGACAAGAGCUGGGAGUUCACAUCUUUAUCUAUGAACAAAGACUCACAGAUCGUGGCAGCAUUUGGCAGUAUGACAGCCUCAGGGAAGUUGGAAUACAGUCAGCAAAACAGCUCCUCUGUCACAGCAGCGGUGGCAGAGAGGGGCUUUGUCCCAGAAUGGGUGAUGAGGUUCUCCAAAGCGUUUUAAUUAACUGCCCUUCAUGUACUUGCUUAGCAGAGCUGGCAGUGAGCUUGAUAUAUCUUUCUAUGUUUGUGAGUACUCUAGCAAGUACCGCUACCCAGGUGCUGCUCCUAAGCCAUCUGGGGAGAGUAUAGGAAGGGAUAAGUAAGAACUUUGCAUUUCUGAGUCAUGUAUGCGUCACAUCUAUACUGCCACUUCUUUCACUUAGCUACAUACUUAAUUAAGCACUUACUCACAGCCUUGGGGUCAGCCUGAGGACAGGGUUCCUCUGUUCUUAACUCCUGUGCCACCUAACAAAGCUGAGAAUCCUUUCUGAGGAGAACGAUUAUUCAUUCAGCGUUCAUUCAUUCAUUCAUUCAUUCAGCACCCAGUGUUGCACAAUAUGAAGUGCUACUGCUGGCAAGCGACUCACACCCCAUUUGUGUGACGUCUGGCAGGCAGGGAGCCUUGGGGACACCACACACACAGGCACAGACCUUCAGUAAGAGAAGGGACUCCUUCAAAUACAGCUCAAGGUGUGGCUGUACAUCUAUAUUCUCCCAGCGCAUGGGAACACAAAAGGUACAAGAGAUGUUACCAACCACUCCAGAGCAGAGCUGAGGCCAUUGCUGUAGGACAGGGGACCAGGAGCAGCCAGUAUGUCACCAACACAUGCACAUCAUGGAGACCUUCAGGACUGGAGAGUCCAGGCUGGAUGUAGCUCUGGGCAGCCUAGCUUAGUGCUUGGCAACCCUGCACAUAGCAUGGGGUUGAAACUGGAUGAUCAUUGUGGUCCUUUUCAACCCAGGCCAUUCUAUGAUUCUGUGAUUCUAUGAUUCUGUGAUACUAUGAUACUAUGAUAAGAUAGGUCAAAAGAAUGGUGUCAUUUUAAGUGACAUCUGAGAAAAUAAAGCACCCAUCAUUAUUCAUCUGCUGAAAGACAAACAAAAAGAUCCAGGAUGUGAGUGGGUCAGAUAUCUUUGGAUCUAGGAGGAGCUCUUUAUAAGGAAAGAAACUAGAUUUGGGUAUAGCUUGUACAGCAUUUAUCGUUAGAAGUGCUACAGGAAUGUGACCUAUAUUUAGCCAACAUACCUUUAACUACAGAAGACUCUACCGUGUAACUCAUGGCUCCCAUUUCCUCAUGGUCUUACUGAGAAAGGUUCCCUGGACCCACCAGACAUCUGAUGUGUUCCAUUGCUAGUGAGGACAGUUCUGGCAUGGAGCACAUACUGUUUUGCUUUCACAGAGCGUUCCUGGACUGACUGAAGUGGCUGUCAUGCUGCAGUGCAUGCUUUCUCCAAGUUAAGUGGCAUUCCCAGACCCUUGGCAGCAGAAGACACAUUUCUCCUGUGGUGGAAAGAUUUGGAGGAAAGCCCCGAGCACUUUGGCAGAGCCAGUGGGAUACCUGGCAAAGCUCACUCAGCACUGCCUGCCUUCGGUCCAUCCCAUGUUACCUUCCCUGUGAUAACGGGAGCCCGGGUCCCAGCAGGGAAAAAAGGAAUGAUAUCAAUCUUCAGCAAAGGGAAAGACAGCACCUUCCAGCUGGAUGAGCCUCAUAGUCCUGUGUCUGGUUGAGGUUCAGGGGGGACAGUUCACAGUUCUAGGUCACCAAUGGAAGUAGGGUAGCACAAUGAUAUGUGCCUGAUGAGCAUGGGGUGUUCAACACACAUAAGGCAGAGCUAUCAUGGCACACUAAGUUCCUACACUGUCUUUCUAUCACCACAACCAAGAUUUUAAGAGCAACCCCAGAACAUGUUUUUUACUCCAGCCCACUCACGAUGGGCAGAUGUAUGAUGAUGGCAACAUCCUUCAACAUCAUUCAGGCUAGAUGGUGCUCUGAGCACACUGACUGAGCUGUAGAUAUCCCUGUUCAUUGUAGAGGAGUUGGAACAGAUGGCCUUUAACGGCCCCUUCCAACUCAAAAGAUUCUGUGAUACUAAAUCACCAGUCAGACCUACUUGGACUCAGCUUUACCCCCUUUGCUGGUGGCUCUAACAGAUCACAUAUGCUUUCUUAAAUGUGUCUACUUACUUAAGUGCUUUGCACUGCUUUCACAGAAAUCAGACAUCAGUGUUGGGCUGACAGCACACCCAAAUCUUUGCUGCUGUUCAGCAGAUACAGUUUGUUCAGCUGAAGUGAUUCAGCCACGCACCUGAGCUCCAAACGGUAGUGCUGAAGAUAAGGAAACUCAUUUGGGAUCAUGAGAAGUACACACAGGAGUUCUGGAGGAGGUGUGCUGAAGAUGUAGGUCUGUGCAGAACUCCCCUGCCUCACCUUGGUUCUGCAACCUGUAAGGAGAUUGAAACAUUAUUGGCUAUGGAAUGGUUGACAGGACAGGGCUGCUCCCAGCUCAUUGAGCCCCAGGCAUGAAGGGAGCCGAGCCUCGGGCUGCCUGACUUGAGCCCUGACCCCCGUAAGCAGCCUGUCCUCAUCAGAGGUUUGGGAACAGGCCCAUCCUCAUUCAAACCCGCUUUGUUCGAGAGGAACUUCUCCAACAGAUAGAAGCUUCUGGUGGCAGGAAUGUUUUAUUCAUAAUCAGCGAUUUUUUAUUUAUCGGCACUUCUAUGAAGUGGAUCCAAUCUGCAGAGAAUCUGGCUAGAAGGGUGUAAAAACAUUUCAAGUUCCUGUACUUUCAUUCAUUUAACAUUUUUCCAGACACUCUUCCCAGCCCUUACUCAUGUCGUUCCCCUACCCGUCACAGCCUUCUUUUAGGCAUAAUAUUGUUAUCUAUUACUUUAAUCCCAAAAUGGUGAGGGAGUGCUACAUGGAAAAAAAAAUAAUGGGAAAUGGUCCCAGCAAAUGGAGUUAAGGAGAGAUAGG
ensembl:lncRNA